GACGAACGCUGGCGGCGUGCUUAACACAUGCAAGUCGAACGGAAAGGCCUGCUUUCCCUUGUGGAUUGCGGGUACUCGAGUGGUGAACGGGUGAGUAACACGUGAGUGAUCUGCCCCCAACUUGGGUAUAAGCCUGGGAAACUGGGUCUAAUUCCCGAUAGGACUGCAGGGUGGUGCCUGUGGUGGAAAACGAUUUUCUAGUGGUUGGGGAUGAGCUCGCGGCCUAUCAGUUUGUUGGUGGGGUAAUGGCCUACCAAGGCGGCGACGGGUAGCCGGCCUGAGAGGGUGGACGGCCACAUUGGGACUGAGAUACGGCCCAGACUCCUACGGGAGGCAGCAGUGGGGAAUAUUGCACAAUGGGCGGAAGCCUGAUGCAGCGACGCCGCGUGGGGGAUGACGGCCUUCGGGUUGUAAACUCCUUUCGACCGCGAGGAAGCCACCUGGUUGGAAGGGUGGUGACGGUAGUGGUAGAAGAAGCACCGGCUAACUACGUG
rnacentral:rRNA from 1 species